rnacentral:rRNA from 1 species
UAAUACCGGAUGCCUUCACGACGUCUCAUGGCGAUGUGAAGAAAUGGAUUCCGCUUCGGGAGGGUCUCGCGGCCUAUCAGCUUGUUGGUGAGGUAACGGCUCACCAAGGCGACGACGGGUAGCUGUUCUGAGAGGAAGAUCAGCCACACUGGGACUGAGACACGGCCCAGACUCCUACGGGAGGCAGCAGUGGGGAAUCUUGCGCAAUGGGCGAAAGCCUGACGCAGCGAUGCCGCGUGCGGGAAGACGGCCUUCGGGUUGUAAACCGCUUUCAGCAGGGACGAAAUUGACGGUACCUGCAGAAGAAGCUCCGGCCAACUACGUGCCAGCAGCCGCGGUAAGACGUAGGGGGCGAGCGUUGUCCGGAAUUAUUGGGCGUAAAGGGCUCCUAGGCGGUUCAGUAAGUCGACUGUGAAAAUCCAAGGCUCAACCUUGGGACGCCAGUCGAUACUGCUGUGACUCGAGUUCGGUAGAGGAGUGUGGAAUUCCUGGUGUAGCGGUGAAAUGCGCAGAUAUCAGGAGGAACACCAACGGCGAAGGCAGCACUCUGGGC